UUCGACACACUAUCAUUAACUGAAUCCAUAGGUUAAUGAGGCGAACCGGGGGAACUGAAACAUCUAAGUACCCCGAGGAAAAGAAAUCAACCGAGAUUCCCCCAGUAGCGGCGAGCGAACGGGGAGCAGCCCAGAGCCUGAAUCAGUAUGUGUGUUAGUGGAAGCGUCUGGAAAGGCGCGCGAUACAGGGUGACAGCCCCGUACACAAAAAUGCACAUGCUGUGAGCUCGAUGAGUAGGGCGGGACACGUGGUAUCCUGUCUGAAUAUGGGGGGACCAUCCUCCAAGGCUAAAUACUCCUGACUGACCGAUAGUGAACCAGUACCGUGAGGGAAAGGCGAAAAGAACCCCGGCGAGGGGAGUGAAAAAGAACCUGAAACCGUGUACGUACAAGCAGUGGGAGCACGCUUAGGCGUGUGACUGCGUACCUUUUGUAUAAUGGGUCAGCGACUUAUAUUCUGUAGCAAGGUUAACCGAAUAGGGGAGCCGAAGGGAAACCGAGUCUUAACUGGGCGUUAAGUUGCAGGGUAUAGACCCGAAACCCGGUGAUCUAGCCAUGGGCAGGUUGAAGGUUGGGUAACACUAACUGGAGGACCGAACCGACUAAUGUUGAAAAAUUAGCGGAUGACUUGUGGCUGGGGGUGAAAGGCCAAUCAAACCGGGAGAUAGCUGGUUCUCCCCGAAAGCUAUUUAGGUAGCGCCUCGUGAAUUCAUCUCCGGGGGUAGAGCACUGUUUCGGCAAGGGGGUCAUCCCGACUUACCAACCCGAUGCAAACUGCGAAUACCGGAGAAUGUUAUCACGGGAGACACACGGCGGGUGCUAACGUCCGUCGUGAAGAGGGAAACAACCCAGACCGCCAGCUAAGGUCCCAAAGUCAUGGUUAAGUGGGAAACGAUGUGGGAAGGCCCAGACAGCCAGGAUGUUGGCUUAGAAGCAGCCAUCAUUUAAAGAAAGCGUAAUAGCUCACUGGUCGAGUCGGCCUGCGCGGAAGAUGUAACGGGGCUAAACCAUGCACCGAAGCUGCGGCAGCGACGCUGAUGCGUUGUUGGGUAGGGGAGCGUUCUGUAAGCCUGCGAAGGUGUGCUGUGAGGCAUGCUGGAGGUAUCAGAAGUGCGAAUGCUGACAUAAGUAACGAUAAAGCGGGUGAAAAGCCCGCUCGCCGGAAGACCAAGGGUUCCUGUCCAACGUUAAUCGGGGCAGGGUGAGUCGACCCCUAAGGCGAGGCCGAAAGGCGUAGUCGAUGGGAAACAGGUUAAUAUUCCUGUACUUGGUGUUACUGCGAAGGGGGGACGGAGAAGGCUAUGUUGGCCGGGCGACGGUUGUCCCGGUUUAAGCGUGUAGGCUGGU
rnacentral:rRNA from 1 species